AGGAGCAACUUAUUUCUUCAUUUGUUUUGGUCCUACCACCGACACGUGCUUGUGUUCCAUCCAGCACUGGCGCCCUCCACCCGCUGCCACUGCGCCUACCAUGACGAUCAGUGCGGAGUACAGUGACACCUCCAGCAUGAACACACUCCCGCUUCACUCACCACCAUGGUGUUUAGCACUGCCCAGCACAGCAGCAUCAGCAGAAUGAACCACGAUGAUUAGUCAAGGUGGACGUUGCCUGCUAGACUGUCCCCCCAGACUAUGAAGCAUCCCUGGUGAUAUAUAGAACACUAUGGACAUCAGAGAUUGAACAUUUUUAAUAUUGAUAGUAAAGAAGCCACUUCCCCCACACCAAAGUAUAUACAAG